rnacentral:lncRNA from 1 species
UUGAGGAUUUUUCUUUUUUUUUUGUUGUUGUGGUUGGAGAGGGGGGAGCCCGCGUGUGCGUCAUCGCGCGCCCUAAGGGGGUGCUCCGACCGCGGGCAGUCGUCAUCGCGGGGCGAGCCGCGCCUCCCCUCGCGACGGGGCACGACGGCGCGAGCGGGGUACCAGCGAGACGCUACCGAAAGCCCGCGGAGAACGAUCGCCGCGAGGGCAACGAGCUCGUGGAGAGCUCUCGCUCCGCUUCGGGCCGCGGCGGAGGGGAGGGGAGCAACGCGGCCGCCUUCCGCUCGGAUAAGAUCAAGU